GCGAAGGUAGCCAAGCCAGGUUAAAGGCGCCAGCUUCAGGGGCUGGUCUCGUAGGAGUUCUGGGGUUCGAAUCCCUUCCUUCGCAC
rnacentral:tRNA from 2 species